AAGCCAGACUCCUACGGGAGGCAGCAGUGGGGAAUAUUGCACAAUGGGGGGAACCCUGAUGCAGCGACGCCGCGUGGGUGAAGGAGUACUUCGGUACGUAAAGCCCUAUCAGCAGGAAAGAAAAUGACGGUACCUGACUAAGAAGCCCCGGCUAACUACGUGCCAGCAGCCGCGGUAAUACGUAGGGGGCAAGCGUUAUCCGGAUUUACUGGGUGUAAAGGGAGCGUAGACGGCAGUGCAAGUCCGGAGUGAAAGCCCGGGGCUCAACCCUGGGACUGCUCUGGAAACUGUAAAGCUGGAGUGCGGGAGGGGCAGGCGGAAUUCCUGGUGUAGCGGUGAAAUGCGUAGAUAUUAGGAGGAACACCAGUGGCGAAGGCGGCCUGCUGGGCUUUAACUGACGCUGAGGCUCGAAAGCGUGGGGAGCAAACAGGAUUAGAUACCCCAGUAAC
rnacentral:rRNA from 1 species